AGGGAGAUGGCUCAGUUGGUAGAGCACAGGACUUGCAUUCCUGAGGUUUCUUCUGG
rnacentral:tRNA from 1 species